AUGAAGAACGCAGCGAAAUGCGAUAAGUAGUGUGAAUUGCAGAAUUCAGUGAAUCAUCGAAUCUUUGAACGCACAUUGCGCCCCUUGGUAUUCCAUGGGGCAUGCCUGUUCGAGCGUCAUCUACACCCUCAAGCUCUGCUUGGUGUUGGGCGUCUGUCCCGCCUCCGCGCGUUGGACUCGCCCCAAAUCCAUUGGCAGCGUUCCUUGCCUCCUCUCGCGCAGCACAUUGCGCUUCUCGAGGGCGGCUCCGGGACGCGACCCACGAAAGAUGACCACCGUCUUUGACCUCGGAUCAGGUAGGGAUACCCGCUGAACUUAAGCAUAUCAAUAAGCGGAGGAA
rnacentral:rRNA from 1 species